UCAAAAGGAAAUAGUCUAUUCUCCCCUCUUUUCCUGUCCUGUUUCUCCUCUCCCUGAGCUUCUUCUUCUCCAAGCUGCUACCUGCGCCCCCCGUUUCCAAAUCCUAGGGUUUACCCCAAGGCAAGGACACGACACUCCCGCGGCGGAUCCCCUCCGUCCUGACGUCGCACCUCCGUGGCCACGGAGCCCUUCCAACCUCGUCGGCAUGUCCACGACCUCCGCCGUCCUCUCCGACUUCCUCUACGCCGACGUAUUGGACCGAGGGCAGCUACAAAGAUGACCCCGAGCUCUCCGUCCACCGUUGCCUCGCCGGUCGCCGUCGCCAACUCCGGCCGCCUCUGCUGCUCCUAAACCGUUCGCCGGCCGCCUUGCGCCGCUAGACCCCGAGACUGCCGCUGAUGCCGCUGUGAUCGACUACGUCGACGGCGACCCCUUCUUCUUGUUUGAGCAACCAGAUGGUGAGUCCUUGGAGCUAGAUGCCACCGCCGACGGAUACUACUACAUGAAGGCCACCGAAGACCAGGAGUAGUUAGGAGGUCCCAGGCAGGAGGCCUUGCCUCUUCGAUCGUUGCUGUUUUUGUGCUUGCCUUCUUAAGGCAUCCUUGUCUAACUUAUGUCUGUACUCAUAUAUUGUUGCUUCCGCUGACUCUUGUGUAUCGAGCUUGUAUUCGAGCCCUCGAGGCCCCUGGCUUGUAAUAUGAAGCUUGUAUUAUUUCUAUUUGUGUCUAGA
rnacentral:rRNA from 1 species